rnacentral:rRNA from 1 species
AUUGAACGCUGGCGGCACGCUCUACACAUGCAAGUCGAACGGUAACAGGGUGCUUGCACCGCUGACGAGUGGCGAACGGGUGAGUAAUGCGUCGGAACGCACCGAGUAAUGGGGGAUAACGCAGCGAAAGCUGUGCUAAUACCGCAUACGCUCUGAGGAGGAAAGCGGGGGACCUUCGGGCCUCGCGUUAUUCGAGCGGCCGACGUCUGAUUAGCUAGUAGGUGAGGUAAGAGCUCACCUAGGCGACGAUCAGUAGCGGGUCUGAGAGGAUGGUCCGCCACACUGGGACUGAGACACGGGCCAGACUCCUACGGGAGGCAGCAGUGGGGAAUUUUGGACAAUGGGCGCAAGCCUGAUCCAGCCAUGCCGCGUGUCUGAAGAAGGCCUUCGGGUUGUAAAGGACUUUUGUCAGGGAGGAAAUCCUUAGCGCUAAUACCGUUGAGGGAUGACAGUACCUGAAGAAUAAGCACCGGCUAACUACGUGCCAGCAGCCGCAGUAA